GAGUUUGAUCAUGGCUCAGAGCGAACGCUGGCGGCAGGCCUAACACAUGCAAGUCGAACGGUCCUUCGGGACAGUGGCGGACGGGUGAGUAACGCGUGGGAACGUGCCCUUAGGUUCGGAACAACUCAGGGAAACUUGAGCUAAUACCGAAUGUGCCCUACGGGGGAAAGAUUUAUCGCCUUUGGAGCGGCCCGCGUCUGAUUAGCUAGUUGGUGAGGUAAAGGCUCACCAAGGCUACGAUCAGUAGCUGGUCUGAGAGGAUGAUCAGCCACACUGGGACUGAGACACGGCCCAGACUCCUACGGGAGGCAGCAGUGGGGAAUCUUGCGCAAUGGGCGAAAGCCUGACGCAGCCAUGCCGCGUGAAUGAUGAAGGUCUUAGGAUUGUAAAAUUCUUUCACCGGGACGAUAAUGACGGUACCCGGAGAAGAAGCCCCGGCUAACUUCGUGCCAGCCGCCGCCGUAAC
rnacentral:rRNA from 1 species